rnacentral:snoRNA from 1 species
AAGACUGGAGGUUCACAGGAUCAUUUCUGUAGGCAAGUUUUCACCACAAGUUUUUACCGAAAGGAAAAGCUUUCCCACCCACGAUGAUGAGACAAUAGUGGC